rnacentral:rRNA from 1 species
AGUGAACGCUGGCGGUAGGCCUAACACAUGCAAGUCGAACGGCAGCACAGGAGAGCUUGCUCUCUGGGUGGCGAGUGGCGGACGGGUGAGGAAUACAUCGGAAUCUACUCUGUCGUGAGGGAUAACGUAGGGAAACUUACGCUAAUACCGCAUAAGACCUACGGGUGAAAGCAGGGGACCUUCGGGCCUUGCGCGAUUGAAUGAGCCGAGUUCGGAUUAGCUAGUUGGCGGGGUAAAGGCCCACCAAGGCGACGAUCCGUAGCUGGUCUGAGAGGAUGAUCAGCCACACUGGAACUGAGACACGGUCCAGACUCCUACGGGAGGCAGCAGUGGGGAAUAUUGGACAAUGGGCGCAAGCCUGAUCCAGCCAUACCGCGUGGGUGAAGAAGGCCUUCGGGUUGUAAAGCCCUUUUGUUGGGAAAGAAAUCCAGCUGGCUAAUACCCGGUUGGGAUGACGGUACCCAAAGAAUAAGCACCGGCUAACUUCGUGCCAGCCGCCGCCGUAA